rnacentral:antisense_RNA from 1 species
AAAAAACCUCAGACAGACGCCUCAGGAGAAUGACUGAUCAGGCAGGUGAGAAAGGAAAGCUUGGGGGAAAACUUGGCUUCCUGCCUGGGGGAGAGGCUGGGGAGCAGCCACUGAACAGAGCUCUAUCUCAGAUGGAGGAGGGGUGGCAAGGAGAAGACGGGAGAAGAGGAAGGGACAGGGCAUUCCACUUAGACAAUCAAACUUGAAGUGUUUACGGUCUGGGGUAAUGUCCAACAGGGAGCAGGAACUAUCAAUCUGGAACUCAGAGACGAAACCAUGGAGUGACAGGUGCAGGUUAAGAGCCUGUUAGGUCCAAAAUGGUGCCCCGGAAAUUCAAGUUAAGUCAAGCCCAUGUUGGAAGACCACCAGAUGUUCUUCUCUAAUGAUGAGCUCUGAGGAAUCCCCAAAUGACGUCCUCCUUGUUCUCCCCUGGUACACUGAGUCUGCAGACCAUCCAGAAGGAUCCCGCUGC